ACAACAAGUUUGUCUUACGUGAACUGGUUCCCUGAUUGCAUUUGGAUAACAGACGUUCUUCUAUCGCACUGCAACUCAGGACUCUUGUAGAAGUUGAACUUUACCAGUUUGAAGAUUUUUUUUCUAGGUGUACAACUGUGCAAGUAUUGAACAUCAGCUUCAAAUGCAAUGUGAUCUAAAAGACAACAUAAUAAUGGACAGAUGUUCUCUGGUCGUUAGUACUUGUUUGCCACACACAUGAAGAUAUUGAUCCUGCUUUCAGCUAAAUAUCAGAAAAAUUAAGAACAAAGGAAAGGAUGCUGAAACUGUACAGUCACCAGUCAGGAUUGUUUCAGAAGUGAAAUUAUAAUACAAUAUAUGUUACUGGUUAAUUCCUAUGAUUUGUAAUUUUAAACAACACACAUAGACUUUG